AUCCAGCUGAUGAGUUUCAAAUAGGACGAAAUGCGUAUCCUUGAU
rnacentral:hammerhead_ribozyme from 1 species